AAAACUUAAGAAAGAAUAUUUAAUUCUAUUAAUUU
rnacentral:tRNA from 1 species